UUUGUAUUACGUGCGGAAAUUGUUACCAUUUUCGGCUCAAAAAUGGUAACAAUUUCCGCACAUAAUUGACA
rnacentral:miRNA from 1 species